rnacentral:sRNA from 1 species
AGCCUAAACCCUUUGGGGCAUGGCUAAGAAAACCUUCGCAGAAGAAAGCUCUCAGUCAGAGCAUCUGCGAAGGUUGUAGCUCGAAAGGGCUGCAGGUAGUCCGCAAGGAUUAUC